rnacentral:rRNA from 1 species
AGAAUCAACGCUGGCGGCGUGCCUCAGACAUGCAAGUCGAACGCGAAAGUCCCCUCCGGGGGGCAAGUAGAGUGGCGCACGGGUGAGUAUCACGUGAGGAACCCACCCCGGAGACCGGGAUAACUCUCCGAAAGGAGAGCUAAUACCGGAUGUCCUCAUCGGAUCGCAUGUUCUGAUGAGGAAAUGGAUUCCGCUCCGGGACGGCCUCGCGGCCUAUCAGCUAGUUGGUGAGGUAACGGCCCACCAAGGCGACGACGGGUAGCUGGCCUGAGAGGACGAUCAGCCACACUGGGACUGAGACACGGCCCAGACUCCUACGGGAGGCAGCAGCGGGGAAUAUUGCACAAUGGGCGAAAGCCUGAUGCAGCGACGCCGCGUGGGGGAUGAAGGCUCUCGGGUUGUAAACCCCUUUCAGCAGGGACGAAAAACGAGACGGUACCUGCAGAAGAGCUCCGGCCAACGUACGUGCCAGCAGCCGC